rnacentral:rRNA from 1 species
UGGGGAAUUUUGGACAAUGGACGCAAGUCUGAUCCAGCCAUUCCGCGUGCAGGAUGAAGGCCUUCGGGUUGUAAACUGCUUUUGUACGGAACGAAAAGGCUCUGAUUAAUACUCGGGGCUCAUGACGGUACCGUAAGAAUAAGCACCGGCUAACUACGUGCCAGCAGCCGCGGUAAUACGUAGGGUGCAAGCGUUAAUCGGAAUUACUGGGCGUAAAGCGUGCGCAGGCGGUUAUAUAAGACAGAUGUGAAAUCCCCGGGCUCAACCUGGGAACUGCAUUUGUGACUGUAUAGCUAGAGUACGGUAGAGGGGGAUGGAAUUCCGCGUGUAGCAGUGAAAUGCGUAGAUAUGCGGAGGAACACCGAUGGCGAAGGCAAUCCCCUGGACCUGUACUGACGCUCAUGCACGAAAGCGUGGGGAGCAAACA